rfam:Punica granatum cultivar Dabenzi scaffold109, whole genome shotgun sequence.
CAUUGGCUUAGUUAGGGGGCAUAAAUCGAUUCCGAUCGGAAUUCCUGAUUCCGGUCAUUAAACGGGCCGAGGGCAUUUGAGGGGACAACUGUUGCUUCUCCACCAAUUGUCCUCCAAGCAGCCUCUGGACAUUC